GAAAAUCAUCACUGCUCUGCAAAAUCCUGUUGCCAUUGAUUAAAUACUUGAGCGAAGAGAUGUCGAAAAUAUUUUCGUUGAUAAUUUUAUCCUUAAUUGGAUUGUUAUUGUUAAUUUUGACCGGCAUUAAUGCACAGUGGGAAAAUGAGAAUGUCGUAGGAUGUAAUGGCAAAUGGUGCCAUUCUUCACAAGGUUACGGUUGCUGCAAAGAUUAUGUAUGUUGGUCAAGCACUUUAUGGUCUGGAUACUGUAUUACAAAAGAUGAACUUUGGAAAAGAGGAUACGUUCCAAUAAAUGGAUAACGUUUUUAAUUUUUAAUCGAA